CUACUUAAGGCAACUUCCCUUUCUCUUUCUCAGGUAACUUCCCCCUCUUUUUCUCGGUUAUCCUCUCUACUCUGUCUUUUUUUUCUUCUCAGUGCCGAUAUAUCUUCCUAAAAUUAUUUAAAGGAGGCAAAGACGUUACAUAUUGCAGAUUUGCUUAUUAGGUAAGUCAAAAAAAUUAUAAUUUAAUUGUUUUAUUUAUAAAUAUAGGAGUUAAUUUUUAUUGAUAUAUUCGAUCCACCACAAACAUCUAUUUUUUUUUCACAAAUUAUGUUAUCAAACUUUUUCACACCGC
rnacentral:lncRNA from 1 species